GAUGAACGCUGGCGGCGUGCCUAAUACAUGCAAGUAGAACGCUGAAGGAAGGAGCUUGCUCUUUCCGGAUGAGUUGCGAACGGGUGAGUAACGCGUAGGUAACCUGCCUGGUAGCGGGGGAUAACUAUUGGAAACGAUAGCUAAUACCGCAUAACAGUAGAUGUUGCAUGAUAUCUACUUAAAAGGUGCAAUUGCACCACUACCAGAUGGACCUGCGUUGUAUUAGCUAGUUGGUGAGGUAACGGCUCACCAAGGCGACGAUACAUAGCCGACCUGAGAGGGUGAUCGGCCACACUGGGACUGGGACACGGCCCAGACUCCUACGGGAGGCAGCAGUAGGGGAUCUUCGGCAAAGGACGGAAGGCUGACCGAGCAAAGCCGCGUGAGUGAAGAAGGUUUUCGGAUCGUAAAGCUCUGUUGUAAGGGAAGAACGAGUGUGAGAGUGGAAAGUUCACACUGUGACGGUAUCUAACCAGAAAGGGACGGCUAACUACGUG
rnacentral:rRNA from 1 species